rfam:Aspergillus cristatus strain GZAAS20.1005 Scaffold_Scf_10, whole genome shotgun sequence.
GGGCGUGUAACUCAGUGGUAGAGUGCUCGCUUUGCAUGCGAGAAGUCCCGCGUUCA